rnacentral:rRNA from 1 species
CCUACGGGGGGCUGCAGUGGGGAAUAUUGGACAAUGGGGGGAACCCUGAUCCAGCCAUGCCGCGUGUGUGAAGAAGGCCCUCGGGUUGUAAAGCACUUUCAGUGAGGAAGAACGCCUGGAGGUUAAUACCCAUCAGGAAAGACAUCACUCACAGAAGAAGCACCGGCUAACUCCGUGCCAGCAGCCGCGGUAAUACGGAGGGUGCGAGCGUUAAUCGGAAUUACUGGGCGUAAAGCGCGCGUAGGUGGCUUGAUAAGCCGGUUGUGAAAGCCCCGGGCUCAACCUGGGAACGGCAUCCGGAACUGUCAAGCUAGAGUGCAGGAGAGGAAGGUAGAAUUCCCGGUGUAGCGGUGAAAUGCGUAGAGAUCGGGAGGAAUACCAGUGGCGAAGGCGGCCUUCUGGACUGACACUGACACUGAGGUGCGAAAGCGUGGGUAGCAAACAGGAUUAGAUACCCUAGUAGUC